UACGGAGGGAGCUAGCGUUGUUCGGAAUUACUGGGCGUAAAGCGCGCGUAGGCGGUUACUCAAGUCAGAGGUGAAAGCCCGGGGCUCAACCCCGGAACUGCCUUUGAAACUAGGUGACUAGAAUCUUGGAGAGGUCAGUGGAAUUCCGAGUGUAGAGGUGAAAUUCGUAGAUAUUCGCAAGAACACCAGUGGCGAAGGCGGCUCACUGGCCCGGUACUGACGCUGAGGUGCGAAAGCGUGGGGAGCAAACAGG
rnacentral:rRNA from 1 species